rfam:Lactobacillus hayakitensis DSM 18933 = JCM 14209 strain DSM 18933 NODE_315, whole genome shotgun sequence.
UCACAUCUGCAACCGCACGUUUUAAGUUAAAGUUCUCUUUUGAGACACUACAUUACGGCGAGUCUAAGUAUUUUA